UACGAAGGGGGCUAGCGUUGCUCGGAAUUACUGGGCGUAAAGGGCGCGUAGGCGGCUAGUUUAGUCAGAGGUGAAAGCCCAGGGCUCAACCUUGGAACUGCCUUUGAUACUGGCUAUCUUGAGUUCGGGAGAGGUGAGUGGAAUGCCGAGUGUAGAGGUGAAAUUCGUAGAUAUUCGGCGGAACACCAGUGGCGAAGGCGACUCACUGGCCCGAUACUGACGCUGAGGCGCGAAAGCGUGGGGAGCAAACAGG
rnacentral:rRNA from 1 species